AUUGAACGCUGGCGGCAGGCCUAACACAUGCAAGUCGAGCGGAUGACGGGAGCUUGCUCCUUGAUUCAGCGGCGGACGGGUGAGUAAUGCCUAGGAAUCUGCCUGGUAGUGGGGGACAACGUUUCGAAAGGAACGCUAAUACCGCAUACGUCCUACGGGAGAAAGCAGGGGAACUUCAGGCCGUGCGCUAUCAGAUGAGCCUAGGUCGGAUUAGCUAGUUGGUGAGGUAAUGGCUCACCAAGGCGACGAUCCGUAACUGGUCUGAGAGGAUGAUCAGUCACACUGGAACGGAGACACGGUCCAGACUCCUACGGGAGGCAGCAGUGGGGAAUAUUGGACAAUGGGCGAAAGCCUGAUCCAGCCAUGCCGCGUGUGUGAAGAAGGUCUUCGGAUUGUAAAGCACUUUAAGUUGGGAGGAAGGGCAGUAAGUUAAUACCUUGCUGUUUUGACGUUACCGACAGAAUAAGCACCGGCUAACUCUGUGCCAGCCGCCGCAGUAA
rnacentral:rRNA from 1 species